GAGUGAGGAAGCUGAGACCUCAUGCUGCAGCCUGCUAUGAAUGGAGAGCUGCACUCCUCCAGCCUUGAAGUUGGAGAUGACAUCAAACCCAGAAGCUCCCUGGACUAGAUGUGACUAACUGAGAUGGAUGAGGCAUGGAUCACGCUGGAGCUGCUCUGUGAAGGCCACGUGUCCACAGGGAAAUGUGGAUUAUUUAUAAGCAGUUCUCAUAAUUUCAGAGAUCCAAAAGCAAUGAGUUAGAAACCAGAAGUGCAGUGACUAUACAGAACUAUUGUGCACUCAACAACGGAAUACACCCAGCUUUCUAUAUCUGUGGAGUAGCCACUGGUUUGACAUCACACAGUGUUAAGUACACUCACGGUACUACACUGCUGUGUCAGCACUGGGUGUGAGAUCAAGUCCCUGCAUGAAACUUAGACCCAUUAACUUCCAGCCCAAAGUGCUACUGACUUCCUUCUGGUUGAACCACCACAGUGCACCAUGGGAGAUGGAGUCCACUCAGGAGGCUGGCCCACAGACUAGAAUGGGGAUAAUAAUGCAUCUGAACUUCAACUCCCAUGAGGCAGCAGCUCAAGCAGACACAGAUUAAUGUUGAAU